GAUGAACGCUAGCGGCAGGCCUAACACAUGCAAGUCGAGGGAGAAGCCCUUUCGGGGGCAGAAACCGGCGCACGGGUGCGUAACGCGUAUGCAACCUACCUUUCACAGGGGGAUAGCCCGAAGAAAUUUGGAUUAAUACCCCAUAAUAUUAUUGAAUGGCAUCAUUUGAUAAUUAAAACUGCGGUGGUGAAAGAUGGGCAUGCGUCCUAUUAGCUAGUUGGAGUGGUAACGGCACCCCAUGGCUACGAUAGGUAGGGGUCCUGAGAGGGAGAUCCCCCACACUGGUACUGAGACAGGGACCAGACUCCUACGGGAGGCAGCAGUGAGGAAUAUUGGUCAAUGGUCGGAAGACUGAACCAGCCAUGCCGCGUGCAGGAAGAAUGCCUUAUGGGUUGUAAACUGCUUUUAUAUGGGAAGAAUAAGGUGUACGUGUACAUUGAUGACGGUACCAUAUGAAUAAGCAUCGGCUAACUCCGUGCCAGCAGCCGCGGUAAUACGGAGGAUGCGAGCGUUAUUCGGAAUCAUUGGGUUUAAAGGGUCUGUAGGCGGGCUAUUAAGUCAGGGGUGAAAGGUUUCAGCUUAACUGAGAAAUUGCCUUUGAUACUGGUAGUCUUGAAUAUCUGUGAAGUUCUUGGAAUGUGUAGUGUAGCGGUGAAAUGCUUAGAUAUUACACAGAACACCGAUUGCGAAGGCAGGGGACUAACAGACAAUUGACGCUGAGAGACGAAAGCGUGGGGAGCGAACAGG
rnacentral:rRNA from 1 species